AGAGUUUGAUCCUGGCUCAGAUUGAACGCUGGCGGCAUGCUUUACACAUGCAAGUCGAACGGCAGCGGGGGCUUCGGCCUGCCGGCGAGUGGCGAACGGGUGAGUAAUGCAUCGGAACGUGCCCAGUCAUGGGGGAUAACUACGCGAAAGCGUAGCUAAUACCGCAUACGCCCUGAGGGGGAAAGCGGGGGAUCGCAAGACCUCGCGUGAUUGGAGCGGCCGAUGUCGGAUUAGCUAGUUGGUGGGGUAAAGGCCUACCAAGGCGACGAUCCGUAGCGGGUCUGAGAGGAUGAUCCGCCACACCGGGACUGAGACACGGCCCAGACUCCUACGGGAGGCAGCAGUGGGGAAUUUUGGACAAUGGGGGCAACCCUGAUCCAGCCAUGCCGCGUGAGUGAAGAAGGCCUUCGGGUUGUAAAGCUCUUUCAGACGGAA
rnacentral:rRNA from 1 species